AGAGUUUGAUCAUGGCUCAGAGCGAACGUUAGCGGCGGGCUUAACACAUGCAAGUCGAGCGAGAAAGUGGCUUCGGCCAUCAGUAAAGCGGCGGACGGGUGAGUAACACGUAGGUAAUCUUCCCUUGAGCGGGGGACAACGAGCCGAAAGGCUCGCUAAUACCGCAUAAGUUUCUCGGGACUCCGGUCCUGAGAAGGAAAGCUAGGCAGCAAUGUCCGGCACUCGAGGCGGAGCCUGCGUCGCAUCAGCUAGUUGGUGGGGUAACGGCCUACCAAGGCGAAGACGCGUAGCUGGUCUGAGAGGAUGAUCAGCCACACUGGGACUGAGACACGGCCCAGACUCCUACGGGAGGCAGCAGUGGGGAAUAUUGGACAAUGGGCGCAAGCCUGAUCCAGCCACGCCGCGUGAGUGAUGAAGGCCUUCGGGUCGUAAAGCUCUGUGGGGAGGGACGAACCGCCGGUGGUGCAUAGCCAACGGCAUGACGGUACCUCCUUAGCAAGCACCGGCUAACUUCGUGCCAGCCGCCGCGGUAAUUC
rnacentral:rRNA from 1 species